rnacentral:rRNA from 1 species
GAUGAACGCUGGCGGCGUGCCUAAUACAUGCAAGUCGAGCGAACAGACGAGGAGCUUGCUCCUCUGACGUUAGCGGCGGACGGGUGAGUAACACGUGGAUAACCUACCUAUAAGACUGGGAUAACUUCGGGAAACCGGAGCUAAUACCGGAUAAUAUAUUGAACCGCAUGGCUCAAUAGUGAAAGACGGUUUUGCUGUCACUUAUAGAUGGAUCCGCGCCGCAUUAGCUAGUUGGUAAGGUAACGGCUUACCAAGGCAACGAUGCGUAGCCGACCUGAGAGGGUGAUCGGCCACACUGGAACUGAGACACGGUCCAGACUCCUACGGGAGGCAGCAGUAGGGAAUCUUCCGCAAUGGGCGAAAGCUUGACGGAGCAACGCCGCGUGAGUGAUGAAGGUCUUCGGAUCGUAAAACUCUGUUAUUAGGGAAGAACAAAUGUGUAAGUAACUAUGCACGUCUUGACGGUACCUAAUCAGAAAGCCACGGCUAACUACGUG